rnacentral:rRNA from 1 species
UGGGGAAUAUUGCACAAUGGGCGCAAGCCUGAUGCAGCGACGCCGCGUGGGGGAUGACGGCCUUCGGGUUGUAAACCUCUUUCAGCAGGGACGAAGCGAAAGUGACGGUACCUGCAGAAGAAGCACCGGCCAACUACGUGCCAGCAGCCGCGGUAAUACGUAGGGUGCGAGCGUUGUCCGGAAUUACUGGGCGUAAAGAGCUCGUAGGUGGUUUGUCGCGUUGUUCGUGAAAACCGGGGGCUUAACCCUCGGCGUGCGGGCGAUACGGGCAGACUAGAGUACUGCAGGGGAGACUGGAAUUCCUGGUGUAGCGGUGGAAUGCGCAGAUAUCAGGAGGAACACCGGUGGCGAAGGCGGGUCUCUGGGCAAUAACUGACGCUGAGGAGCGAAAGCGUGGGGAGCGAACAGGAUUAGAUACCCUGGUAGUCCACGCCGUAAACGGUGGUACUAGGUGUGGGUUUCCUUCCUUGGGAUCCGUGCCGUAGCUAACGCAUUAAGUACCCCGCCUGGGGAGUACGGCCGCAAGCUAAAACUCAAAUGAAUUGNCGGGGUCAUAGCUGUUU